CUUAUCAAAUAUGCUGUCAUGCACUUUUGAUGUUCUCCAUUUUCAUGUAAUACAAUAAUAUUGUUGUGCUUCCAGUUAUAGAACCCCAAUGUAGCAAAGAGAGAUUCUUUCUUGGAGAAUAGGUGACAUACAAUGCAGUACAAACGACCUUGGGAUGGUGAUUAGAGUAGCCAUUCACAUUUUACAUACUCGCCAUUCUGCAGUUCACGUUUGAACACAUUGUUUGAUAAAUACCUUGCCUUCAUAUUCUCUACUCCAGCUGUUUUGUACACUGUGUGUGAGUUUGAAAGGUUGCUAUCAUGAUUCUGACAUGAUUAGGGCCCACUAUGAAUCUAGUAAUCUAUUGUGUUAGUAUCAUUAAUGUCUCAGCCCCAGAUCUGUCUCUUGAUUGCAAACAUCUUUACUGUUACAGAUUUAGGUGUUUCCUCUUGUAAAAUGUCACCAGCAGCAACAACAAGCAAUGAUGGUAUAUCUACUGAAACUGGGUGAUUGGUAGCAGGAAUGGAUGUUGAUGUGGAUGCUAUAUCUGAAGGAACAGUACUGGUGGCGGACAUUGCAGGAGUGGAUGCUGAUGUGGAUAGAAUAUCUGAAGGAAUGGUAACGAGUGACUAUUGGCUUGUGUUGGAGCUUCACAUGCAAGUGCCUCUGGUGCUUAAGCCGUCACCCCGGAUCACGACCCUCUCUACACUUGCAGCCACCGUACGCUCCCAACAUGACUCCACAACCCCACUCUCUCCAACUCGCCACAUGCUCCAAACACAGACACCAUCACCAGCCCUGCUGACAGGAAUUCACCGCACACACCUCAGCAACACUUCGAAGAUGGACCCCAUUCCCUUGUCAGAGAUUUCUGACCUUAGCCAGUCCACCCUUGCCUGGCCUAUCCACCUUUGAGGGUGCACCCAGAACAUCUUUGGACAUAGCCCAUGCCACCCACAGUCAGAUGGGGACAGGAGCAGAUGACUUUGGACCGUUGCAGAUUUAGUGAACUGUCUUCAUAAAGCUCAUCUUAAGCCUUACUCUAUUAGCUUUUCCUGUAACAUGACCUGCUAAUCUACUUACAUCCAGGUCCUUAAUUACCAACUGAAGAGUGAGCAGAGAUGAUUGAGUAUGAAUUGGAGCCAAAGCAUCCUUCAUUUAUUAAGGAUUAAACCUGGCUAAUAUUGCAAUGUUGUUUAAAUUAUAUUAAUGUAAUAAGAGCUCUACUUUUGCCAGACAUGUUGAGUACAGUAUAUUGUAUGCCCUAUAUCUUUUAAUAGUUUUGUAUCUAUAGUCCAUGUACUUAUGAACCAAAAAUUUGUAAAGCACUGUACAUUUUUGUUUCGAUUUGUUAACAUUACUAUAGGUAUAAAU